rnacentral:rRNA from 1 species
UGGGGAAUUUUCCGCAAUGGGGGGAACCCUGACGGAGCAACGCCGCGUGCGGGAGGACGGCCUGUGGGUUGUAAACCGCUUUUCUCUAGGAAGAAGGUCUGACGGUACUAGAGGAAUCAGCAUCGGCUAACUCCGUGCCAGCAGCCGCGGUAAGACGGAGGAUGCAAGCGUUAUCCGGAAUUAUUGGGCGUAAAGCGUCCGUAGGCGGUUCAUCAAGUCAGUUGUUAAAGACUGCAGCUCAACUGUGGGCGAGCAACUGAAACUGAUGAACUAGAGUGCGGUAGGGGUAGAGGGAAUUCCCAGUGUAGCGGUGAAAUGCGUAGAGAUUGGAAAGAACACCAGUGGCGAAGGCGCUCUACUGGACCUGUACUGACACUAAGGGACGAAAGCUAGGGGAGCGAAAGGGAUUAGAUACCCCCGUAGUCC